CGGCAAGUCACCCCAUUUGAUCAGCAGCUGAGUUGUGGCCGUGUUGCCAUCGCGAACCAUGCAGCGUUGCAGAAUGGCCGAAGGAAGCUUGUCGCUGAGCAUCAGGUCCGGUGGUGGCAACUCACUAAAAACUGGCGAGUAAUCUGCCGAGAAAGGCUUCAACUGGGACACAUGAAAUACCCGGUGUACCUGGGCAGCGGCCGGCAACUGCAGACAGUACGCAACUUCCCCAAUUCGCUCCAGGAUAGUAAACGGGCCAAAAUACUUGUAUGAAAGCUUGUGGCACGGACGAUUAACAACUGAAUAGUGUGCGUACGGCUGGAGCUUCAGGAGAACUUGCUCGCCAGCAAUGAACUGACGCUCAAUGCAGCGGCGGUCUGCUUGCGACUUUGUGCGCUGUUGAGCUCGAAGUAGAUGUGCCCUCAACAAUUCAGUGUGUUCCUGAUAAUCUGCUGCAGUGUCCGCGACUGGUGAUGUCGAAUCAACAGCAAUAUUGGGCAUUCCACAAAAAUUGGGCUCAGUCUUGUAGAGAGCACGAAAUGGGGAGCAGCCAAGCGAAACAUGGUGACUGGUAUUAUACCAAAACUCCGCCAUAGCAAGCCAUCGACGCCAAGUCUUGGGACGAUCCUGGAUAGCACAACGCAGAUAUUGCUCAACACAUUGGUUCACACGCUCACUCUGGCCGUCAGUUUGCGGAUGAUGUUCUGUAUUGUAAUGCAGUUUUGUGCCCACUGCCUUGAACAGAUCCUUCCAAAUGUGACUCAUGAAAAUCUUGUCAUGGUUAGAUAUAAUUGACAAGGGAACUCCAUGGAGACGCACGAUUUGGUCCACGAACAGCUUGGAGACAGUGGAGGCUGUGUAAGGAUGAUGCAAAGGAAGGAAGUGCGUGUACUUGGUCAAUUGGUCGACCACGACCAGAAUCACAUUAGCGCCCUCAAACAUCGGUAGACCUUCCACAAAAUCCAUUGUGAUUUACUACGAUGGAGCGUGAGGAGGUGGCAACCGCUGGAGCAGACCGGCAGGUCGAGUGUGUGGGUGCUUAGCAUGUUGACAGGUUGGGCAUUGUUUCACAAAAAGCUCCACAGCCAACUUCAUUCCGGGCCAGUAGUAAAGUUUCUUGGCCCGUUGAUAAGUUGCCUGAAUGCCAGAAUGACCACCGACGGCGCUAUCAUGCAGAGAAGCAAUCAAUUUCUUCUGUAGUGCCAAAUUUUCCCCAAUGACCAAUCUUCCUUUGAACUUGAUUAACUCAUUCUCCAAAGUAUAACCUUUAACGUCAGCAGAGUGAAUUGUAAGCUGCUGCAAUAGUGCAGCCAUCUCUGUAUCAGUGUGAUGCGAAUUCAGUACUUCAUGUACCCAAUCUGGCGUGCAAACUGAAAUUGCCUGUGUUGCAAAUUGAUGAGCAAUACGCGACAGAGAUUCUGCCGCCCCAUUAUCCACCCCUCGUUUGUACUUGAAUUGAAAUUGAAGUCCAAUUAAUUUGGACAUGGCUUUUCGUUGUAGAUCCGAUGUGAGUUGCUGGUCAGUUAAGUUGCAAAGGCUCUUAUGAUCGGUCAAAAUGGUAAAAGGGCCUCGCUGAAGGUACUGACGCCACUUGUCCACGGCCAUGAUCACCGCGAGAAAUUCUUUCUCGUAAAUGGAUUAAUGAAUCCUAAUGCCUUGCUCAUAUAAGCAAUAGGAUGGCCACGCUGCAUUAACAUUGCUCCCACACCAGUGUCGCAAGCAUCGGUCUCAACAGAAAAUGGAACCGAAAAAUCCGGCAGAGCCAAAACAGGGGUGUGUGCCAUCACAGAUUUCAGAGAGAGGAAGGCCUAUGUGGCCUGAUCAUUCCACUCGAAACCCUUCUUUGUAAGCACCUGUGUCAAAGGCUUGGAAAUUAGUCCAUAGUUUUGCACAAAUUUACGGUAGUAUCCUGUUAAGCCGAGGAAACCCCUGAGCUCGGUUGCAUUUGUUGGAAUUGGACAUUGUUCCAUUGAUGCCGUCUUCUCUGGAUCAGUAGUGACACCCUCUGAAGAUAUAAUAUGACCCAAGUAUUGUAUGCUCUGCCGGACAAAUGAGUGUUUCAUCAGCUUAGCGAAGAAUUGGGACUAACGCAGUGUUUCCAAAACCAAACGUGGGUGUUGCAAAUGGUCAGCCCAAGAAGGACUGUAGACCAGUAUGUCAUCCAUGAAAAGUAUUGCAAAUUUGCGCAGAAAUGGAGCGAACACUAAGUUCAUCACACACUGAAAAGUUGUCGGGGCGUUGGUGAGCCCAAAAGGUAUCACCCGGAAUUGAAAAUUACCAUGAUGUGUUUUGAAUGCAGUCUUUGACUCGUCAGCUGGAUGCAUGCGGAUUUGAUGAUAUCCCGCACGGAGAUCCAACUUGGAAAAGAAUUUGGUUCCAGCAAGUUCAUCCAGUAACUCAUCAACGAUGGGUAGGGGAAAUUUAUUCUUGAUAGUAAGAUUGUUGAGAUGAUGAUAAUCAAUGCAAAACCGCCAAGUUCCGUCCUUCUUCUGUACGAGUAGGACUGGAGAUGCGAAUGGGCUCAUGCUGGGUAUAAUCACACCGGUCCGCAACAUCUCUACAACCUGCCGCUCGAUCUCAUCUUUCAGCAACGGAGAAUAGCGGUAAGGUCUGGCAUUAACUGGUUGAGCAUCGUGUUUCAGAGUAAUUGCAUGAUCCAAGGAUCUCCUGGGUGGCAAAGAAUUUGGCUCAGAAAAUAUGUCGGAAAACUCCUGUAAUAAGGUGUGAAGAUCAGGUGCCAUUGGAAACAGUUGCUUGUCGUCAGGAAUAAAAUUAUCUACCACUGCUAAAGCCCAAACUUCAUUUGUAUCCAGCCAUUGCAGCAAUUGUUCAGCAUGCAAUUCCGGUAAAACCCCUUGCUCUGCGGCAACAAUUUCUUGUAACACAAUCAUAUUGCCCUGGUGAUGAAACUGUAAGGUUUUCUUACCCCAAUGACAAUUCAUGGGACUGAAACGUGCUAGCCAAUCGACUCCAAGAAUGGCAUCAUAUGCUCCCAGGUCCAAGAUACACAUAUUAGUAUAGAACUCAUGCCCUUGGGAGCACCAUGUAAGCCCUUGAACUUGAGAAUCUGAGUGCAUCAACUGUCCAUUGGCUACUCUGACCGGCACUGCUGGAGCAGCUGUGAUAAUACACUUUGCACGCUCAGCAGAAGACUUUGUAACAAAAGUGUGAGAACUGCCCAAGUCAAUCAAUAGCAACAUGGCUUGGCCACCCACAGUAGCUUGCAAACGAAUUGUCUGCCCUGAUUCAGUUCCACCGAGAGCAUGACCCGAUAACUGACAGCACUCACCACUAGUUGGGCUUCAUCAAGUAAACUCAGGGCAUGCACUGCAUCAUCUGAAAGAACUUCCCCAUAAUCACCCACUUCAAUAGUCAGUAAUUGACCGGUGCGACGACAUUGAUGUUCCUUGCUGUAUUUAUGACCACACUUGAAACAAAGACCAUUAGCAUGACGAAAAUACCGGAGCUGACGUUCACGGUUGAAAUCAUCGAUCAUUACCAGUGCGACGCGGACAAUCCGUGUGUGGUGCUGUUGCCAUAGUUGUCUGCACUGUUAUGGUAGGUGGAUGCUUGGUUGGAGCAGGAGGACGCCCACGAGGCAUGUGCGUCUCUCCUUCUUCUUCCUGGAUCCUGGCCAGGGAUGCCGCGCGCGUGACACUGGAGGGCGCCUGCAACUGUACCGCACAACGGAUGUCAUCUCGCAAACCGAGCAUAAACUAAGCCACAAACCAGCGCUGAUUCAGUGAUGGAUCUAGAGUUGUCAGAUGAUACAUAGAUGACUCAAAGCGGGUUUCAUCUCGCAAACCGAGCAUAAACUGGCGAGUAAUCUGCCGAGAAAGGCUUCAACUGGGACACAUGAAAUACCGGGUGUACCUGGGCAGCGGCUGGCAACUGCAGACAGUACGCAACUUCCCCAAUUCGCUCCAGGAUAGUAAACGUGCCAAAAUACUUGUAUGAAAGCUUGUGGCACGGACGAUUAACAACUGAAUGUUGUGCGUACGGCUGGAGCUUCAGGAGAAUUUGCUCGCCAACAAUGAACUGACG
rnacentral:lncRNA from 1 species